UACGGGGGGAGCAAGCGUUGUUCGGAUUUACUGGGCGUAAAGGGCGCGUAGGCGGCCUCUGCAAGUCGACUGUGAAAUCUCCGGGCUUAACCCGGAAAGGUCAGCCGAUACUGCAGGGCUAGAGUGCAGAAGGGGCAACUGGAAUUCUCGGUGUAGCGGUGAAAUGCGUAGAUAUCUGGAGGAACACCGGUGGCGAAGGCGGCAUCCUGGACCGGUAUUGACGCUGAGGCGCGAAAGCCAGGGGAGCAAACGGG
rnacentral:rRNA from 1 species